UAUGGCCACAUCGCGUUGAAACACAGGUUUCCAUACGAUCAACGAAGUUAAGCAAUGUCGAGCCUGGUCUGUACCUAGUUUGGUGACCGCUUGGGAAUACCAG
rnacentral:rRNA from 1 species